UACGUAGGGGGCAAGCGUUGUCCGGAAUCAUUGGGCGUAAAGCGCGUGUAGGCGGCUCGAUAAGUCUGCUGUGAAAGUCCAGGGCUCAACCCUGGAAUGCCGGUGGAAACUGUCGAGCUAGAGUCCGGAAGAGGCGAGUGGAAUUCCUGGUGUAGCGAUGAAAUGCGCAGAUAUCAGGAAGAACACCCGUGGCGAAGGCGGUUCUCUGGGACGGUACUGACGCUGAGACGCGAAAGCGUGGGGAGCGAACAGG
rnacentral:rRNA from 1 species